GGCACCAGCUGUGGGGCAAGAUGGAGGUGCUGAUUUUGGAACCCUCCCUGUAUACUGUCAAAGCUAUCCUGAUUCUGGACAAUGAUAGAGAUCGACUUUUUGCCAAGUACUAUGAUGACACCUGCCCCAGUGUCAAGGAGCAAAAGGCAUUUGAGAAGAACAUUUUCAACAAGAUCCAUCGGACUGACAGUGAAAUUGCUCUCUUGGAAGGCCUGACAGUGGUGUACAAAAGCAGUAUUGAUCUCUAUUUCCAUGUGAUUGGCAGCUCCUAUGAAAAUGAGCUGAUGCUUAUGGCUGUUCUGAACUGCCUCUUCGACUCACUGAGCCAGAUGCUGAGGAAAAAUGUAGAAAAGCGAGCUCUGCUGGAGAACAUGAAGGGUCUCUUCUUGGCUGUGGAUGAAAUUGUAGAUGGAGGAGUGAUCCUAGAGAGCGAUCCCUAGCAAGUGGUACACCAGGUGGCGUUAAGGGGUGAAGAUGUCCCCCUCACGGAGCAGACUGUGUCUCAGGUGUCGCAGUCAGCCAAAGAACAGAUCAAGUGGUCACUCCUUCGAUGAAGACCUCACUCUU